rnacentral:rRNA from 1 species
GACGAACGCUGGCGGCGUGCUUAACACAUGCAAGUCGAACGGAAAGGCCCCCUUGUGGGGUACUCGAGUGGCGAACGGGUGAGUAACACGUGAGUAACCUACCCUUGACUUUGGGAUAACUUCAGGAAACUGGGGCUAAUACCGGAUAGGAGCUCCUGCUGCAUGGUGGGGGUUGGAAAGUUUCGGCGGUUGGGGAUGGACUCGCGGCUUAUCAGCUUGUUGGUGGGGUAGUGGCUCACCAAGGCUUUGACGGGUAGCCGGCCUGAGAGGGUGACCGGCCACAUUGGGACUGAGAUACGGCCCAGACUCCUACGGGAGGCAGCAGUGGGGAAUAUUGCACAAUGGGCGGAAGCCUGAUGCAGCAACGCCGCGUGCGGGAUGACGGCCUUCGGGUUGUAAACCGCUUUCGCCUGUGACGAAGCGUGAGUGAUGGUAAUGGGUAAAGAAGCACCGGCUAACUACGUG